AUUGAACGCUGGCGGCAUGCCUUACACAUGCAAGUCGAACGGUAACAGGUCUUCGGAUGCUGACGAGUGGCGAACGGGUGAGUAAUACAUCGGAACGUGCCCGAUCGUGGGGGAUAACGGAGCGAAAGCUUUGCUAAUACCGCAUACGAUCUACGGAUGAAGGCAGGGGACCGCAAGGCCUUGCGCGGACGGAGCGGCCGAUGGCAGAUUAGGUAGUUGGUGGGAUAAAAGCUUACCAAGCCGACGAUCUGUAGCCGGUCUGAGAGGACGACCAGCCACACUGGGACUGAGACACGGCCCAGACUCCUACGGGAGGCAGCAGUGGGGAAUUUUGGACAAUGGGCGCAAGCCUGAUCCAGCCAUGCCGCGUGCAGGAUGAAGGCCUUCGGGUUGUAAACUGCUUUUGUACGGAACGAAAAGACUCUUUCUAAUAAAGAGGGUCCAUGACGGUACCGUAAGAAUAAGCACCGGCUAACUACGUGCCAGCCGCCGCGGUAAUAC
rnacentral:rRNA from 1 species